rnacentral:lncRNA from 1 species
CUCAAAUCUUAAUCUUGUGUUUCUUAAGAUAGUGAACAUGUAUCUGAAUUACAGACAAUUAUGUAUGAAAUUGGUACAUAAAACAUGGAGAGCUUUAUGAGAAAUGAAUGUAAUUUGAUGUUAGAGCUAUUCAAAAUGGUGUGUUGAAUUUGAAUAUUAAAUCAGUGUAUGCAUGAUUGAAGUCGAGUGAAAUACUUGUCGAUGUGAUUAUAAAAUGCGGAAAAUGUAUUUUAAUCAUUACUUAUAGGGAAAAUGUUGGGAACAUUUGUGUAUAUAAUGCAUUUUAUAUGGCCCACUCCUUUUCAGACCCAGAAAGACAUACAGGGGAGGUUACGUGUUGGGAGCAAAGAGAGACUGACUUUCUUUGGACAAGCUCAGUUGAACCCUGUGCACUCAAAUCACCAGGCGAUAAAGGUCAGAGCCAACUUCAGCCAUCAGCUUGAGCUGCAGCUCCCCUCCUCUGCUGCAGUGGAGGGAAAUGUAUGCUGGAACCCCAAGAACAACACUGACUUUGAUUAUCAGGCCAGAGGUAAACUGAGAGUAGAGCGACAGCAGUGCCAACUUUCUGUACAGCUCAAUGGAACAUCAGGCAGAGUCGUUCUUUAUUCGUCUCUCAGCCAUCCCUUCAAAUCAAAGAUUCCCAAAACAUUAGAGGUCAGAGCCACAGCAGACAUUUCUACAGAGGCUGGUAGAGGAAGUAGCUCAGUGAGUGUGAGGGCUGAUGGGAAAGACAGGGUGAAGCUGGACGCCCAGGUUUCACACUCCCUCCAGAGAGGAGAAAGAACCGUGGGGCUGAGGGUUAAUGUAUCCCAGAGCCUGCUGCAUUCUCCCACUGACCUGCAUGUAAACAUGUCCGCCAACAUGUCCUCAGACAGGUGUGUGGAUCCACCCGGCUGAGGGUUUUAUCACUUUGUCUCCAUAAGAUAUACUCUGACAGUCAUGUGUCCAGUAAACCAUCUCUUUGUGAACUUUUGAACUCAUUCUGCCUCCUCCAGUGUGUCUCUACAUGGCUCCUAUAAACAGGGGCACGAGGCUCUGCUGGCCCAGGUCAAAGGCUCUCUAAAAACCACACAGGGUCUCCAGCUGGCUGUGUCCGGGGACCUGAGGCACUCCAUGGCCAACCUCGCUGUUUUGCCUCCAGUGCUGGGGUUGGAUGGGGCGCUUGGACAGUCUGACACACUCAUUGAAGGUAAAGGGUUAUUUAAAAAUACAAAUUAAACUAAUUUAAUAUUACAUGACAGCACAUUCUGACAUUCAGCUGUCCUUACUGGGAGUCAUUUU